rnacentral:rRNA from 1 species
AUUGAACGCUGGCGGCAUGCUUUACACAUGCAAGUCGAACGGCAGCGCGGGCUUCGGCCUGGCGGCGAGUGGCGAACGGGUGAGUAAUGCAUCGGAACGUGCCCAGUAGUGGGGGAUAGCCCGGCGAAAGCCGGAUUAAUACCGCAUACGACCUGAGGGUGAAAGCGGGGGACCGAAAGGCCUCGCGCUAUUGGAGCGGCCGAUGUCGGAUUAGCUAGUUGGUGGGGUAAAGGCUUACCAAGGCGACGAUCCGUAGCUGGUCUGAGAGGACGACCAGCCACACUGGGACUGAGACACGGCCCAGACUCCUACGGGAGGCAGCAGUGGGGAAUUUUGGACAAUGGGGGCAACCCUGAUCCAGCCAUGCCGCGUGCGGGAAGAAGGCCUUCGGGUUGUAAACCACUUUUGUUCGGGAAGAAAUCCUCUGGGCUAAUACCCCGGGGGGAUGACGGUACCGGAAGAAUAAGCACCGGCUAACUACGU